GCAAUCCGCAGUCUUUUAAGCUGGUUAGAUAUUGCGUUAAAUAAAAUCAUUUGGUCUUAUCUCCGGCUCAUUUAAAAGAACUGUAUUGGCUGCGCUCUGUGUCGCACCUUCUCUAAGAGGCGCUGUCCGUGGUGCUGGACUCUACGUCACCGCUGACGUCAUUCGGUAGAAACCACCCGAAACGGAACAGGGAUUGAUGACAGCAGGGGUGACAACAUGAUAGUUUAAAAUGAUAAAAACGUCUCGUGAUUGAUCUUUCUUCCCAUUUGUGUUUUUUUUUUUUUAAUGAACAGCCACUUCAUUUAUAACGCUUUUUUUUUUUUUUUACUUUUUUUUUUUUAAUGCCAUACGCUACCCAUGCCUACAGCAGCAUGCACGUCGAGGCUAUUAAAAUAAAAUAAAAGAAAGGUGGAUGUAAAACGUUGUUAUUUGAGCAGCGCUACAUUGUAUCGCCGUGUAUAGCGGGUAGCUGCUGUCUGGUUCCCGCUCCGCCCUGAGACUGAGAGAGGACGCAUGUGCUGAUCCGCUGCGGCGACGCGCUCACUCAGCUCCUCUAAUCUGCAUUCAUACCCGGGCUCCGAGGCUGGGAUACCACACCACAGCCUGUUCAUGGGCUUCGAUAGCAGGAUCGGUUUUAAGGCCUACUAGGUUUUUUUGCCUUGUUAAUUGUUAAAAAAAAGAAGAAAAUAACUCGGAAUAGGAGCGAUAGCCUCGACUCGUCUGGUUCAGCUGCAGCCUCGGCUCCUGCGCCUCCUUCGUCAUGUUUCGCAGGGAGACACAGCAGUAGAUAGUACACCGAGACGUCCGUCCGUAAGCGGAAGAGAAAACCCGAGUGGUUGAAGAUGACUCCGUCGUGUUUAGUCUCCAAAUGCUUGGCAGCAAUGGCGAAGCCUUCCCUCCCUCUGCAGCUCUUCUUCUGGGUGCUGGUGCUCCUCAGUCUUCCUACAAGUUCGAUCCAGACGGACGAGGACGACGAGGUGGCCAACAAGACGUGGGUGCUGACUCCCAAAGUGUACGAGAGCGACGUCACACACAUCCUCAACAGCCUGCUGUAUGGCUACGACAACAAGCUGCGCCCCGACAUCGGAGGUGGGCGGAAACUCCGACACGGAGCACUCUGCUUAGUCAUGGGGUCGGAAGGCAUAUACGUGUGUGUGCACACACACACACGCACACACACACACACACCAGCAUGCAAACACACACACCCACACACACAAACAUGCACACACACACACACACACACACACACACACACACACACACACACACACACACACACACACACACACACACACACACACACACACACACACACACAAACACACACACACAAGAAAA